rnacentral:rRNA from 1 species
UACGGAGGGGGCAAGCGUUAUUCGGAUUUACUGGGCGUAAAGGGUGUGUAGGCGGUCGUGCAAGUCUGGUGUGAAAUCUUCACCACUCAACGGGAAGAGGUCACUGGAAACUGCGCGACUUGAGUUUGGUAGAGGCUAGCGGAAUUCCUGGUGUAGCGGUGGAAUGUGUAGAUAUCAGGAAGAACACCUGUGGCGAAGGCGGCUAGCUGGGCCAAUACUGACGCUGAGACACGAAAGCGUGGGGAGCAAACGGG